rnacentral:lncRNA from 1 species
AGGGAGGGAGGGGUUAGAUUUAAAUGUUAUUUUAGUGUUUUAGCAAAAAAAAAGGAUUUUUGCAAGAAAAUUAUGAUUUUUUGAAUUUUGUGAUUUGGCGGAAAAUGUAAUUAUGCAGUUUUCAACAAAAAUAAAUAAAUAUGAUUUUACGGUUUUUGUGGGAUAAUUUUUUAUUUUGUAAAAAGUAUGUUCGCGGUUAAAGUGAGAAAAAUAUGAAUUUGUGGUUGUGAUGAGAAAAUAUAAUUUUGAUGUUUUAGCUAAAAAUAUGAUUUUACGGUUUAACAGAAAAUAUAACUUUCAUUUUUUGGAGAAAAAGAUAUAACUUUACGGUUUUGACGAGAAAAUAAACUUUUGACGGGUUUAUAAGAAAAUUUUAUUUAUGGAUUUAAUGUGAAAAGGAAAUUUCAUUUUUGAAAGAAAAUUAUAAAGUUUCAUUAGGGCAUGCUCUUUUCAAAACUUUGUUUAAAUUUUAAGAAAUAUUUUUGAUGAACACUAAUAGAAAGCAUAUGUUUUACAGCAGUCUGUGUCGUGGUUAAUUUUUCAUGUGUUACGACAAAUUAACCAUGACUCAUUAGUGUGACAACGAAUUGUUUUCAUCGUAAACACCAAGCAUACAAAUUCGCAAUUCGUCGUAAAAUCAUAGUUUACCAACAAGGCAGCAUGUUGUAGUAAACCUCUUGUAAAUUUUACAACGAAU